rnacentral:rRNA from 1 species
UACGUAGGGUGCGAGCGUUGUCCGGAAUUACUGGGCGUAAAGAGCUUGUAGGCGGUUCGUCGCGUCGAUCGUGAAAACUUGCAGCUCAACUACGAGCUUGCGGUCGAUACGGGCGGACUAGAGUACUGCAGGGGAGACUGGAAUUCCUGGUGUAGCGGUGAAAUGCGCAGAUAUCAGGAGGAACACCGGUGGCGAAGGCGGGUCUCUGGGCAGUAACUGACGCUGGAGAAGCGAAAGCGUGGGUAGCGAACAGG